GAUGAACGCUGGCGGUAUGCCUAACACAUGCAAGUCGUACGAGAGUUUUUAACUCUAGUGGCGGACGGGUGAGUAACACGUGAGAAUUUGCCUUUAGGAGGGGGACAACAAUUGGAAACGAAUGCUAAUACCCCAUAUGCUUUCGAGUGAAAUGGAUUUUAUCCGCCUAGAGAGAAGCUCGCGGCUGAUUAGCUUGUUGGUAAGGUAAGAGCUUACCAAGGCGACGAUCAGUAUCUGGUUUGAGAGGACGAUCAGACACACUGGAACUGAGACACGGUCCAGACUCCUACGGGAGGCAGCAGUGGGGAAUUUUCCGCAAUGGGCGAAAGCCUGACGGAGCAAUACCGCGUGAGGGAAGAAUGCCUAUGGGUUGUAAACCUCUUUUUUCUAGGGUAGGAAUAAAAUAGACGUGUACCUGAAGAAUAAGCAUCGGCUAACUCCGUG
rnacentral:rRNA from 1 species